rnacentral:rRNA from 1 species
UGGGGAAUAUUGGACAAUGGGCGAAAGCCUGAUCCAGCCAUGCCGCGUGUGUGAAGAAGGUCUUCGGAUUGUAAAGCACUUUAAGUUGGGAGGAAGGGCAGUAAGUUAAUACCUUGCUGUUUUGACGUUACCGACAGAAUAAGCACCGGCUAACUCUGUGCCAGCAGCCGCGGUAAUACAGAGGGUGCAAGCGUUAAUCGGAAUUACUGGGCGUAAAGCGCGCGUAGGUGGUUCGUUAAGUUGGAUGUGAAAGUCCCGGGCUCAACCUGGGAACUGCAUCCAAAACUGGCGAGCUAGAGUAUGGUAGAGGGUGGUGGAAUUUCCUGUGUAGCGGUGAAAUGCGUAGAUAUAGGAAGGAACACCAGUGGCGAAGGCGACCACCUGGACUGAUACUGACACUGAGGUGCGAAAGCGUGGGGAGCAAACA